rnacentral:rRNA from 1 species
CCUACGGGUGGCAGCAGUGGGGAAUAUUGGACAAUGGGCGAAAGCCUGAUCCAGCCAUGCCGCGUGUGUGAAGAAGGCCUACGGGUUGUAAAGCACUUUCAGUGGGGAAGAAAGCCUUGGGGCUAAUACCCUCGAGGAAGGACAUCACCCACAGAAGAAGCACCGGCUAACUCCGUGCCAGCAGCCGCGGUAAUACGGAGGGUGCGAGCGUUAAUCGGAAUUACUGGGCGUAAAGCGCGCGUAGGCGGUCUGAUAAGCCGGUUGUGAAAGCCCCGGGCUCAACCUGGGAACGGCAUCCGGAACUGUCAGGCUAGAGUGCAGGAGAGGAAGGUAGAAUUCCCGGUGUAGCGGUGAAAUGCGUAGAGAUCGGGAGGAAUACCAGUGGCGAAGGCGGCCUUCUGGACUGACACUGACGCUGAGGUGCGAAAGCGUGGGUAGCAAACAGGAUUAGAUACCCCGGUAGUC